UUCAGAUAGAAGGUCAGUUUAAGCACAAAAAUUCCUGAACAUCAGUAGACAUUUGCAAGGAAAGCCUUCAUACAAAGACGUAGAUAAUCUGGUAACAUAUUCAACAAGAUCAACAUACAAAGGACAUUGUGUUACCUGUGGUGCAUGGCCCAAGAACAAGUGGAAUGAUGUUCUUGGAGUUUUAUAUCAUUUGCAGACCAUAACUCAUAGAGGUGCUAGCCGAGUUUCGGUCUUAUCUGCAGCCACCAGAUAAAAGGCAAGGGGUCUCGGAUGGAUCAGACCAUAGUAACAAACAUGUAUUUUCUAAACAGUUUAACUGACGUUAACCGUGACUCCAUGCAGUGAAAUACGUAUUACAAAGGCAAGGGUGCUUUCCAGGGAAUAAUUACCAAUGGAAAUGGAAAUGUAAUCAGGCAAAAGAUGUUGUGGUUAGAGGAAUAACAACAGCAUUGCCAGACAAUUUACACUGGGGACUUGGCGGUUCUCGGAAUAAAACUACCGGGUACUUCCCUACUUCUGUCUGCUGGCAUGAGCUGCAAUGACGAAAUUGAUGAUGACAUUAUUAAAGAGGACUGUUUAUUGCAUAUUUGAUACCAACAAAAGACAAGUAUUGGGUGACUACUUAGUGUUAGAUUGAUAAAAGGAGUUGUGAAAUCGCUAUAUACUUUUAACCAAAAGUUCGAUUCUCCGUAAUUUGUAUACAUGUACCGUUCGGCAUAUACUGCAAUUUUGCACAAUGUUAUAUGCAGCUGCAAAUUAUUUGCUUUAAGGACAACAAUGCAUGUAUAUCUUUAUAAGCUGUCAUACGAUAACUCGCUUUUUGUAUUUUCCUCAAAUGGCACAACUGAUCUAUAAUCGACCUAUGUGACAUUGAACACUUUUUGCAAUUGAUGAAUGAAAUGCAAAGUCGUUAACAUUUGCACAAAAGUCAGUAACGUCAUUUUGUCAAUGGUUGAAGAACAGUAUUACUGUCCACAGGUGGUUAGCGUGUGGCUAUGAU